rnacentral:rRNA from 1 species
AUACGGAGGAUGCGAGCGUUAUCCGGAUUUAUUGGGUUUAAAGGGAGCGUAGGCGGGAGCUUAAGUCAGCGGUUAAAUGGUGCGGCUCAACCGUGCCCUGCCGUUGAAACUGGGUUUCUUGAGAGUGCAAGAGGCGGAUGGAAUUCAUGGUGUAGCGGUGAAAUGCUUAGAUAUCAUGAAGAACUCCGAUUGCGAAGGCAGUCCGCUGGGGCACGUCUGACGCUGAUGCUCGAAGGUGCGGGAAUCAAACAGGAUUAGGUACCCUGGUAGUCCGCACGGUAAACGAUGAUUACCCGCUUUCGGCGGCAGACAGUCGGCGGCCAAGCGAAAGCGAUAAGUAAUCCACCUGGGGAGUACGCCGGCAACGGUGAAACUCAAAGGAAUUGGCGGGG